rnacentral:sRNA from 1 species
UCAAGUUAUCAAUCACAAUGGUUUUAUACAUUAAUAAAAUAAUGUAGCCUAUAGUUUUGGCUACACAUAUAAUAGUUUCAUUUCUUUUGUUGCUUUUAUUGUCUAUCUUUUUACCCUGGUUGUGAUUAAAUGAAAAAAAUAAAUUACAUAUCAACUCCAUCCUAGAAGUAUCAGACUAAAGAUACCAUUUUUUUAUUUAUAAAUAAAAUAAAUAUUUUGGAAGAAAUUUUAAUACAUAUGCCUACACAUCAACAUCUUUAUAUUUUGGCAUAUUUCUCAUACACUUUCUUGUAAGUUCAGUUUCAGCUCAUGAGGUCCUUAUAUACUAUCUUAGAGUUUUAUACCUGAGGUCCUUAUAUACUAUCUUAGAGUUUUAUACCUGAGGUCCUUAUAUACUAUCUAGUUGAGCUUUAGCUCUGAAAUCCUUAUAUACUAUCUAGUUGAGCUUUAGCUCUGAAAUCCUUAUAUACUAUCUAGUUGAGUUUUUGCUCUUAGGUCUUUAUAUACUAUCUAGUUCAGUGUUAACUUCGUUGUAUACAUUUAUUAUCUAUUUAUUAGCCUCUCCCAGCAGGAAGUAGUUUAAUAUACCUUAAAAAGCUACUAAGUCACCUUUUGAUUGUUCUCUCACAUAUAGUAAAGUAGGUGUUUGUCUUAGAUCAAUAGAUAUUUUUGGCUAUUAAUCUUUUUUAUUUCUCUAUUUCUGAAAUUAUUUAUAGGUAAAAAAAAAUAAUUAGUGGAAUUAGUUAGCUUUAGUUGUGUUUAUUAAUUAGAACCAAAAAAAAAAAGUACAACUUGUUUGAUUUCCUAUUUAUGGUUGAGAUUUGCUUUAACGUAAAAGUUGAAACUUUUAAUGGAGAGGAGAAAAAAGUUUAUUUUUUAUCUUUUUUUUGGUACUUUUUUUUUUUUUACUUAUGUCAGCCUCAUUGGACUGCAUCUUUGUCUGCUCAGACUUCUUUGUUACUGGUUAGGGCAUUGUAGAGAUGAUCAUCCUCUUUCUUGGAGGGCUUUCUUUCAGGCUCUCCACGGCUCUAAUUCUCAGAAUUCAGUCUAGUUACUUCCUGUGUCCUAUAAUCCUCUUUCUUGGAGGCCUUUCUUUCAGGCACUCCAUGGCUGUAAUUCUCAGAAUUCAGUCUAGUUACUUCCUGUGGCCUAUAAUCAUAUUCCUUUGCCCUUUACACAAUAUAUGUGAGUGUUGAUGGCUGAAAUUUUUAUGACCAGCACACAAAAACAAUCGCUGUUUUUUUUUGGGGGGGGUGGGGGUGUUUGUUAAGUCUUCCCACAAAUCACAGAUAAACUCUGAACUCUACCAUGUGCUUAUCAUUUAAGUGAUCUUGACUUGUGUACAUAAAUGCUUAAAGAUAUAUUUCUGUACAUACAUCUGAUUGUUAACUAAAAAAAAA